CCUACGGGGGGCAGCAGUGGGGAAUAUUGGGCAAUGGGCGCAAGCCUGACCCAGCAACGCCGCGUGAAGGAAGAAGGCUUUCGGGUUGUAAACUUCUUUUCUCAGGGACGAAGCAAGUGACGGUACCUGAGGAAUAAGCCACGGCUAACUACGUGCCAGCAGCCGCGGUAAUACGUAGGUGGCAAGCGUUAUCCGGAUUUACUGGGUGUAAAGGGCGUGUAGGCGGGAUUGCAAGUCAGAUGUGAAAUUCCAGGGCUCAACCCUGGACCUGCAUUUGAAACUGUAGUUCUUGAGUGAUGGAGAGGCAGGCGGAAUUCCGUGUGUAGCGGUGAAAUGCGUAGAUAUACGGAGGAACACCAGUGGCGAAGGCGGCCUGCUGGACAUUAACUGACGCUGAGGCGCGAAAGCGUGGGGAGCAAACAGGAUUAGAUACCCCAGUAGUC
rnacentral:rRNA from 1 species